rnacentral:rRNA from 1 species
AUUGAACGCUGGCGGCAGGCCUAACACAUGCAAGUCGAGCGAGCGGCGGACGGGUGAGUAAUUUCUGGGAAACUGCCUGAUGGAGGGGGAUAACUACUGGAAACGGUAGCUAAUACCGCAUACCAUCAGAUGUGCCCAGAUGUGAUUAGCUAGUAGGUGGGGUAACGGCUCACCUAGGCGACGAUCCCUAGCUGGUCUGAGAGGAUGACCAGCCACACUGGAACUGAGACACGGUCCAGACUCCUACGGGAGGGAGCAGUGGGGAAUAUGGCACAAGGGGAGUAAGCCUGAGGCAGCCAUGCCGCGGGUAUGAAGAAGGCCUUCGGGUUGUAAAGUACUUUCAGCGGGGAGGCGUGACCCGCAGAAGAAGCACCGGCUAACUCCGUGCCAGCAGCCGCGGUAAUUC